UUCAAGCAAUUCUCCUGCCUCAGCCUCCCAAGUAGCUGGGACCACAGGUGUGUGCCAUCAUGCCCGGCUAAUUUUUGUAUUUUUAUUAGAGACGGGGUUUCACCAUGUUGGCCACGCUGGUCUCAAACUCCUGACCUCAGGUGAUCCAUCUUGCCCAGUCUAUUUGUACAUAUUCUUAAUUUAUAGCAAUAUAGUUAUUUGCGUAAGUGCAAUAAAAAUCCGUUUUCUUUUGUAACAGAACACAAAUAAAAAACUGGCCUCCUAUUUUGUGUACACAGUCCCUGUACAGGGUUUCUAAUCUGUGGGAAGUAAAACAUGCCACUUUCUAACGGACAAAAACCUCAAGUUAUCUUGGAACCUCAAGAGGAGAGGAUUUCACCCAACUCACAGCAGGUGCUGCCUCGAAGCCCCCAAAACAGAAAGUGCUACCGGGAACAAAUCCACCUCUUUCACUCCAGUGCUGUGUUUGCUGCCCCGUGACGACAACCCUCUCUCAGCAGGAAGCAGCCAGAAAGAUUACAAUGCUUCAUCUCCCUACGAUUCUCGUGAUUAAUAAAUAAAUAUACAUGCAUGAUAAAAA